ACGUUACCUACAGAAGAAGCACCGGCUAACUCCGUGCCAGCAGCCGCGGUAAUACGGAGGGUGCGAGCGUUAAUCGGAAUUACUGGGCGUAAAGCGCAUGCAGGCGGCCUGUUAAGUCAGAUGUGAAAGCCCGGGGCGUUAACCUCGGAAUUGCAUUUGAAACUAGGCAGGCUAGAGUCUUGUAGAGGGGGGUAGGAAGUUUCAGGUGUAGCGGUGAAAUGCGUAGAGAUCUGAAGGAAUACCAGUGGCGAAGGCGGCCCCCUGGACAAAGACUGACGCUCAGAUGCGAAAGCGUGGGGAGCAAACAGGAUUAGAUACCCUGGUAG
rnacentral:rRNA from 1 species